rnacentral:rRNA from 1 species
UCCGGUAACCAUAGCGGUGGGGCAACACCUCUUCCCAUUUCGAACAGAGAAGUUAAGUCCACCAGCGCCGAUGGUACUGCCCUGGUAACGGGGUGGGAGAGUAGGUCGUUACCGGAU